CCCAUAGUUGAAGGGGGUGCGCUC
rnacentral:piRNA from 1 species